GACGAACGCUGGCGGCGUGCUUAACACAUGCAAGUCGAACGGAAAGGCCCUGCUCUUGUUGGUUGCUCGAGUGGCGAACGGGUGAGUAACACGUGAGUAACCUGCCCUUGACUUUGGGGUAACUUCAGGAAACUGGGGCUAAUACCGGAUAGGAUCUCCUGCUGCAUGGUGGUGGUUGGUAAGUUUCGGCGGUUGGGGAUGGUAUCGCGGCUUAUCCGCUUGUUGGUGGGGUAGUGGCUUACCAAGGCUUUGACGGGUAGCCGGCAUGAGAGGGUGACCGGCCACAUUGGGACUGAGAUACGGCCCAGACUCGUACGGGACGCAGCAGUGGGGAAUAUUGCAGAAUGGGCGGAAGCCUGAUGCAGCAAUGUCGCGUGCGGGAUGACGGGCUACGGGUGGUAAACCGAUUUCGCAUGUGACGAAGAGUGAGUGACGGUAAUGGGUAAAGAAGCACCGGCUAACUACGUG
rnacentral:rRNA from 1 species